rnacentral:rRNA from 1 species
UACGUAGGGACCAAGCGUUGUGCGGAUUUACUGGGCGGAAAGGGCGCGUAGGCGGCAUGGCAAGUCACUUGGGAAAUCUCCGGGCUUAACUCGGAACGGCCAAGUGAUACUGCCACGCUAGAGUGCAGAAAGGGCAAUCGGAAUUCUUGGUGUAGCGGUGAAAUGCGUAGAUAUCAAGAGGAACACCUGAGGCGAAGGCGGGUUGCUAGGCUGACACUGACGCUGACAGCGCGAAAGCCAGGGGAGCAAACGGG